rnacentral:misc_RNA from 1 species
AAAGUCGUAACAAGGUUUCCGUAGGUGAACCUGCGGAAGGAUCAUUAAAAAGUAAAGGGCCCCAGGGGCCGUCUAAAAACCUGAAAGCUGCCAGGCGUCCCCCCUUCCGUGGGAGGCGCCGAACAGUGAACCCCUUGUGAAAACCUUUGUUGCUUCGGCAGCGCUUCCACGCCUAAACCGCGGGGAAGGUCAGCCUGCCGGCGGCACGCCACGAAACUCUUCAUGCAACGAGCACUGAAACGUCUGAGAGCGCAGUCGAAUGACACUUAAAACUUUCAACAACGGAUCUCUUGGUUCCC